rnacentral:rRNA from 1 species
UACGUAGGGUGCGAGCGUUGUCCGGAUUUAUUGGGCGUAAAGAGCUCGUAGGCGGCUUGUCGCGUCGGAUGUGAAAUCCCGAGGCUCAACCUCGGGUCUGCAGUCGAUACGAGCAAACUAGAGUGUUGCAGGGGAGACUGGAAUUCCUGGUGUAGCGGUGAAAUGCGCAGAUAUCAGGAGGAACACCGGUGGCGAAGGCGGCUCACUGGCUCAUUACUGACGCUCGAGGCGCGGACAGCGUGGGGAGCAAACAGG